UCGUGUAAUUUUUUCAUAAUAUUUCACACUUAUUUUUCUUUGACUUGUGGCUUCUUAUAAUUGAGAAAGUUGGAAAAGGUUCCGAGAAAGAAAAAGGGGUUUCGUACAUCUUCAAAAGAUCUGAGAAAAAGGGAUACUCUCUCUUUGACUUGUGUGAGAAAAAGGGGUACUCUCUCAAACGCAAUAUUGCAGAGAAAGAAAAAGGACCCAAACGCAAGCUCCAAUAGCAGAGAAGAAAAGACAGCUUCACAAAUUUCCGGAAAACGCAAACGUAAGCUCUUCAAAAAAUGGCGCCGGGACCAAACGGACGCCUUACAGAAUGGUUUGGUAAUCAUGGAAGAUGUUCAAAUGGCAGUUGCUGAUUAUUUCAUUAGUGACUUUGUUUGAAGGAAUUUUAAGGCUAUCUGUUGAGAAGCUAGCUUCCACUGUGCUUUGGAAACUCUCCACUCCAUGCAGCUAUACUGAAACGGAAUCCUGAUGGAUCGAAGUUGGAUGAAUGAAAGUCGCAUCAGCCCAGAAUAUGAGGAAGGCGUCGAGCAAUUCUUACAAUUUGCUUCACAAAGAGGUCAACCGGAUGAAGAUGGAAAAUAUUAUUGUCCUUGCAUCAAUUGUUUGAACGAAAGACGACAAAUACUGGAUGACA